CGCGCCCCCCUCACCCUGCCCGGCGGGACUGGGGCCGGGGCUACCCUGGCCGCGACUCAGGCGCGCUGCCCGUUGACUAGCGGCCCGGCGCCGGCAGCGCUCCUGGGCAGCCAGUCCGGUGCCACGGGCUUACGUCCUCCCGUCCGUCCGCGCUGGCCGAUCGGGGAGCCCGCUGGGGGGGAAGCGUAGAGGCCUGUCGAUGCUCACGUUAGUGUUUGUAUCAGGCCCUAUGUCAUAAAUAUAAAGGGAAGGGUAAACCCCUUUGAAAUCCCUCCUGGCCAGGGGAAAGCUCCUCUCACCUGUAAAGGGUUAAGAAGCUAAAGGUAACCUCGCUGGCACCUGACCAAAAUGACCAAUGAGGAGACAAGAUACUUUCAAAAGCUGGGAGGAGGGAGAGAAACAAAGGGUCUGUCUAUAGUCUGUCUGUAUGCUGGUCUUUGUCGGGGAUAGACCAGGAAUGGAGUCUUAGAACUUUUACUCCUGUUUACUGUGCGCCCACUGUCUCCCACCGAUAGAUCCCAUACUGCCCUCUACUGUUGUAGUCACUUUUAUGAAUACAUCACAGAUGGUCAUGCAUUACAUCAUGAGCUCCCAAUCUGAACAGGAAUCAGAGUUGCCUGACCUGGAAAGAAACAACACCAGAUUACUUUUGGCAUUCACGGAGCAGCUGAACAUGGUGGACCAUUGCUUUUGGCCUUGGGAAGCAAGCACUGAGUGGUGGGAUCGCAUCAUUAUGCCGGUCUCAGAUGAUGAGCAGUGGCUCAGAACUUUCAGAUGCAGAAAGCCACCUUCCUGGAAUUGAAUGCAGAGCUCACCCAGCACUGCAGCGCAAGGACACCAAAAUGAGAGCUGCCCUCUUGGUGGAGAAGCACGCGGCAAUCGCUGUGUAGAAGCUGGCAACUCCAGACUGCUACCGGUUGGCUGCAAAUCAGUUUAGAGUCAGGAAGUCUACACUUGGGGCUGCAUUAAUGCAAGUGUCCAGGGCCAUUAAUCGCAUCCUGCUAUGAAGAACUGUAACUCUUGGCAAUGUGCUUGAAAUAGUGGAUGGCUUUGCAACAAUGGGAUUCCCUAACUGCGGAGGAGUGAUAGAUGGAAUAUAUAUUCCUGUUUUGGCCCCAGACCAUCUUGCGAUGGAGUACAUCAAUAGAAAGGGGUGCGUCUUCUCUAUGGUAUUGCAGGUGCUUGUGGAUCACCAUGGGCAUUUCACAGACAUCAACGCAGGGUGGUCCAGGAAAGUCCAUGACACACGUAUCUUCAGGAACACGGAUCUGUACAGAAAGCUCCAAGAAGGGACUUUCUUUCUAUACCAGAAGAUUCCAGUGAGGAAUGUUGAAAUGCCCAUAGUGAUCUUGGGAGACUCAGUGUACCCCUUACUACCAUGGCUCAUGAAGCCUUACACAGGAAACCUGGACAGCAGCAAGGAGCACUUCAACAAUAGGCUGAGCAGAUGCAGAAUUACCAUAGAAUGUGCCUUUGGCAGAUUAAAAGCAUGCUGAUGCUGCGUUUACGGCAGGUUAGACCUAAAUGAGGAAAACAUUCCCAUAGUCACAGCAGCCUGCUGCAUGCUCCAUAAUAUUUGUGAGGUUAAGGGUGAAAAGUUUACCCCAGAGUGAAGCGCCGAGGCAGAUUACCCAGCUUCUGAAUUUGAGCAGACAGAUACCAGGGCGAUUAGAGGGGCACAACAGAGGGCUAUUCGAAUCAGGGAGGCUUUGAGGCAACAUUUUGACAAUGAGCACCAGUAAUGUCCUUCUAUACAGCACUCUGCCAUGUUUUGUUAACAUGCAUCUUGCAUAAAAAUUAUUAUGAGUCCUGACCAGGAUUUGUAGUCAGCAAAUGGUCAAAUUGCCACUAUGUAUUACUACCAGCAGCAACCACCACAUGUAGGAGACAAACAAAGAUUGUUUGUUUUUAUUAAAUACCAAUUUACACUCACAAAAGGCUUGGUGAGAAGGGAGAUAACAGUGCAGGCUGUCAUAGCUGUGUGUAAAUCCAACUAUCAUUAUGGAAGCUGUCCAAAGGAGUGGAGUGAACAGGGUACUGAGACAUUCCGGGAAGUUGCAAAGAAUGUGUGAGAGGAGUUGGGGAGGGCAUGGAAAGGAGUUCUUAUUGGCUGCUGGGGAGUGGGGUGAGGGAUGAGCAUGCAUGUGUUCUUCCUGGAGCAUGAUUGGGGACUUCAACAUCUCUGUUUGCUCCAUUAUCAUCUGCUUCUGGCCCUUUACAAUGCGCUCCAUCACUCUCCUUUCUGUCUUGCCUUUCUAUUUUAAAUUUGUCCUUCAGGGUCUCUCUCCACUCCCUCCGUUCUCUUUUUUCACCCUUUGAGGAUUGGAGCACCUUUUGGAACAUGUCCUGCUUGCUCUGCCUUCAUCGCUUCCUUAUCUAGCGGAAGCACUCCGCUGGUGUAGGGGUUUCCUCUGAAGGCCACAUCCGCAGGAGCAUAAGCAACAAUACACAGAAGCAUGACUGCUAGUUCACAUGCAGCAUUGAAUCAUUAUGGUAAAAUGCACCUCUUUUAACAUAUCAAUCGCUUUCUCAUUGUCCCUUGGCAAGCACACAUCUCAGUGAACACCCUAAACAUGGUGAGUUCGGCAUGGGUGGGGUUUUGGUUGUUCAAGAUGGGGCAGGGGAUUGGUGCAGGCAACUAGGAACAAUAUAGUAAAUUCUGCCACCAUUUACACAGGCAGGUGUUACUGAAGCUGAUAUCUACUCCUGGGUGCAUCUCCUGUACACGUGCAGCUUCAGACCCGGUCCCUAGGCUGCUUUCCUGUGUGCGCUUUGGUCCCCACACAAGUGAUUGUCGAGUUGCAUAAGAAAAUUUUCUACAAUGGGAGAAGGGACAAAGCAGCUCUACCAAUGAACCUUCAGCAGAGGAUUGGCAAAUACCUCCAGGAAAGUUUCCUAGAGAUCUCUCUGGAGGAUUCCUGUGAAAUCUUGGUGUGAAUAAUGGCACUGCUUAGCUGUACAUGGGAAUGUGGAGCACACUCAAACACAGCUAGUCUUGUAUAUUUUUAUUCCUUCACCCACUUCUAGAAUAUACAAAGCAAAGGACAGCUCUACCUCAUGUAACCAAGCAGCAUCAACUCAAAAAGAUCACUUACCAGAGUGUUUUUUUCACACCCCUGAGCAACAAAAGUUUUGCCAACAAAAGUGCUCGUGUAGACAAAGCCUUAGUUUAUAAGCAGUGAUUCCUGAAACAAAAACAAAAAAAAAUCAAAUAUUGUCAAAAUUUAUGCUUCUGAUUCUGAAAAAUGAACACAGCACCGAAGAGCCCACUCCACUAACUAGAGACCCAUACUCUUGUUUGUUCCCAUAGACACUAAUACACUUAUAUCAAAUUAUUUGCAUUUUUAGAUUUAAGCCUCCUAUGAAGCUUUUGUGAAACAAUCUGAAUGUAUUAAAACUAUGCUCAGUUAAUUGUAAACUAACUGGGCAGGAAUGUAGGUCUUGUUAAAAUUAACAUUCUGGAGUAUUCUGUUUUCUGUAAUUUUACGUUUACAGUUCUCCCCAGUUUUGGUACAACAAACUGUGGCACAACCAGAUUUGGGUUACAAAUCUGGAUCUCCAAUUUUAAAUACUAGAACUCAGAUUCACGUGGCACCAACAUCAUUUCAGCCUCUUGCUCCUAUUCUUGCCUUUGACGUUUAUAUUUGGGAUCAAUCAGCAAAAAGGUCCUAUAGCUUCUUUAAAUCAUAUUUUGAUUUUUCUCUUUGUGCUAGUUCUUUCUAAUUAGAUCAAGCCAAAUUUCUAGAGACUGUGACUUUAGCAUGAUCUGUUUGUAAUUUCUCUAGUCCCUCUAAAACCUCCUUAAAUUGCUGGUAAUUUUAAUGCCUGUCCAGAGCAUGGAAAAUGCAUGGUAUUAUUUUGCUCAAAAUCCUCCUGUGCUCAGUGCAAAUUUCAGCAUAUUUAAAGUAGCUGAAUGCAAAUGCCGGCACACAGUCUUUGGAAAUCUGGAGUAUCAAUGCUCCCUUGUCAGUAAACCAACUGUAAGUCUGAUGGUGGUUCUGGAAGAAAUUUUGAACUUCUGCAAUGUGCUCCAAGACUGUUAGGUAUUACCUCUUUUUCAAAAAGGUUUACAGAGUAUACCAAACACCAACACCUCAGAAUGUUAAUAUAAUUGCACUUAAAUUCCA